GUAAGUCCUAUGAGGGCAAAAUCCUGCACAGAGCCUGAGCAGGCCUUUCAUGGUUUCACAUAGCUCUUUAUAUGCAGAGAUCACAUGCCACACUGGAGCUGCAGAGCCCCUGCGCUAAACAAAGGGCAGAAAGUGCCACAAUGAUGGAAGAUGCGCUCGCAGACCAGAGGAAACCGGCAUUCCUACCUUAUCACUGUCCACCGUGUUUUGGGAGGUUCUGGAGGCGAUUGAAAUGGUGUCCGGUUGGCUGCUGCCAUCACCCUGGCUGUCUGCGUCUUCUCCAGUGUCCCUUCAGAGAUACACACCAUGUUACUAACGGAAGGGCUUCUAUUUCGCACUUCCUGUAUCGUCGCCUCCCUGAAGCAGUAACGCUGUGCUGCAGCCAUACUGAGGAGAGAAGAAGCGCUCCCCCGUACCUGGAGCUUGUUCUUGUAGACGUAUUUGGUGCGGCCC